rnacentral:rRNA from 1 species
UACGUAGGGGGCAAGCGUUAUCCGGAUUUACUGGGUGUAAAGGGAGCGUAGGUGGUCUGGUAAGUCAGAUGUGAAAGCCCAGGGCUCAACCCUGGGACUGCAUCUGAUACUAUCAGACUAGAGUGCAGGAGAGGUAAGUGGAAUUCCUAGUGUAGCGGUGAAAUGCGUAGAUAUUAGGAGGAACACCAGUGGCGAAGGCGGCUUACUGGACUGUAACUGACACUGAGGCUCGAAAGCGUGGGGAGCAAACAGG